UAGAAGGUCAUAGGGGGGACUUGUGAGAGGAGCAGAGGAAGAUGGAAUGAUGAAAAAGGACUGGGGGCAAUUGGCAGUGUUUUUGAACCUCAGCCGUAAUUCCUCAGCCCUGUGGAUUUUGCCGAGCAAGUUUCUGCUGAUGCACAAUCAAGACGAACGGCGAUGAGAAGCUGGAGAAAGGUGUGAGGCUUUGGAAGAGGGUCUGAUAAAUAUGCCCCAGAAUUCCCUGUUUUCCAUUAUUAUUCCCCAGAAUUCCUCCCGCGGAUGAUGCAUCCAUGUCACGUAGCUAUACUUCUGUUAGGUGUCACAUGUGAUGGGUGCUACCACCAUGUUCAGAACCACAGUGUCUACAGCUGUAAGCCCACUUAUGUCCGGAGAUGUGUGUGUUCAGAACCACAGGCUUAACGUGAGGUGCCGUGCACACUGGUGUACAUCACAGGUUACUUGUUUUCACGUGGGAAUUAUUACCAGGAGGUGUUGGGGGGAAAAAUUCAUUUAAGUGCACAGAUUGUGUCUGUGAAAGUAAUAGGAUGUGAACCACGAG